AAGGGCUGAAGCAGUGCAGUGGUGUGCAAGGGGAACCUGUUUGCCCUCAAUUAUUAAAGAACGCACUCCCCAAACACUGUUUGUCCUGACUAACCAGCACAUUGCUUUAUCUGCUAAUGAGCUGACUUCCCUGUUAUUCCAAGAGGCACCACAAAUUGCCAGGUGCUUGUACUGCUCAUUUUCCCAGAGGAAGAGCUGCUGUAGGGAACCUAGGCCAGCAGCAAGCCAUGACAGCAAUGGACUUUGGUCCUUUUAGGAGGCAACCCACAGAGAUUUCUCCAGGUACAUGUGCGUAUCUAUAGCAACCUCAAGAGAAAAAUAUGGAUCUGUUACAAAGUGCCGAAAUUGCAGCUUUUUUUCUUUGCUUCAGAUAUCACCUGGAAAGCCAUGCAGAACAUCAUGACAUUCAAGGCUGGAAUUUCUUCUGGGAAUGGCAUAAAACUGAAGUCUUUGCUGAGGUCAAGGACAAUUGAGCUAGACUCCAGGCAGCCGUGUUUGUUGCUAUCCUGCCGACCCCUGCGGGCGCUGGGACCUCAGGGCUGGGGCUGCGUGGCAAAGAGCGCAGGUUGGUGCUGUCACAAAAUGUCAGAGUGCUGCCUCCCCCUUUGUUUGGGUUGGUGACUAAGAGCUUCACCCACUGGUGGGAAAGUCAAAUCCCUCUGACACAUUCUUGGUCUGGAGAGGAACAACCUGUGCAACCACGGGCCAUGGCUCUUGUGUCAGAGCAGAGUGGGCUCCCUCCACACAAAGCAAACACCAUCCCAUGUUCUGUUUCUUAAACAGCAUUAUUUUUAUAAAUAAAUAUAAAUAUAUAAUAAAUAUAUAAUAAAUA
rnacentral:lncRNA from 1 species